CUGCAAGCCCCCAUGCCCACAGGUGACCCUGUGCUUUCCUAUGGUGCUUGUGAGAACAUCAGAAAGCAUUUCUAGGCCUUGCCCUGCUCCACCCAGGAAAGGCUAUAGAAAUUCCAGAAACUG
rnacentral:snoRNA from 1 species